UGAGUUCCUCUCCAUUCGUCUGUAAUGCCUGAAAAUGCUAAGGGGCCGAUUAUGGCUCUGUCUACUUCCUCUCCAAGUCUUCCAUGGCGAACACCCAAGACAGCCAUGGUUGCCAGACAAGGAGAUACCAAUGGUAAAGGCAAAUCGCAUUCAGCAACACAGACCUUCUACUACACACUUCCUACUGGCUGUAAGGACUGAUCUCUGCAUUUGCCUGGAACCUCAGCACUAGGAAGCCUGUGACAGGAAGAUUUAAGGGCAAUACAAAGGCUGUAUGUCUUCAGACAGCAGGGGCUACAAAGAGACAUCUAGUCUCAAGUAAAUAAAUAAAGAUUACUUUCUGCCUUAAA